rnacentral:rRNA from 1 species
AGCGAACGCUGGCGGCAGGCCUAACACAUGCAAGUCGAACGGAUCCUUCGGGAUUAGUGGCGGACGGGUGAGUAACACGUGGGAACGUGCCCUUUGGUUCGGAACAACUCAGGGAAACUUGAGCUAAUACCGGAUGUGCCCUUCGGGGGAAAGAUUUAUCGCCAUUGGAGCGGCCCGCGUCUGAUUAGCUAGUUGGUGAGGUAAAGGCUCACCAAGGCGACGAUCAGUAGCUGGUCUGAGAGGAUGAUCAGCCACAUUGGGACUGAGACAGGGCCCAAACUCCUACGGGAGGCAGCAGUGGGAAUCUUGCGCAAUGGGCGAAAGCCUGACGCAGCCAUGCCGCGUGAACGAUGAAGGUCUUAGGAUUGUAAAAUUCUUUCACCGGGGACGAUAAUGACGGUACCCGGAGAAGAAGCCCCGGCUAACUUCGUGCCAGCCGCCGCCGUAACAC